UGCCCCAUGGCUUAAUUGGGUAUAGCAUCCGACUGUUACUCAAAAUCGUUCCUCAGUCCGAGAUUCGGUAGCGAAAAAAGCAGAAGGUCGAGAGUUUGAGCUUCUCUGGGGCAG
rfam:Sphaerobolus stellatus SS14 unplaced genomic scaffold SPHSTscaffold_4, whole genome shotgun sequence.